rnacentral:rRNA from 1 species
GACGAACGCUGGCGGCGUGCUUAACACAUGCAAGUCGAACGGAAAGGCUCCAGCUUGCUGGAGUACUCGAGUGGCGAACGGGUGAGUAACACGUGGGUAAUCUGCCCUGCACUCUGGGAUAAGCCCGGGAAACUGGGUCUAAUACUGGAUAUGACCUUUCUCCUUAUGGGGUUUGGUGGAAAGUUUUUCGGUGUAGGAUGAGCCCGCGGCCUAUCAGCUUGUUGGUGGGGUGAUGGCCUACCAAGGCGACGACGGGUAGCCGGCCUGAGAGGGUGAUCGGCCACAUUGGGACUGAGAUACGGCCCAGACUCCUACGGGAGGCAGCAGUGGGGAAUAUUGCACAAUGGGCGGAAGCCUGAUGCAGCGACGCCGCGUGAGGGAUGACGGCCUUCGGGUUGUAAACCUCUUUCAGCAGGGACGAAGCGUAAGUGACGGUACCUGCAGAAGAAGCACCGGCUAACUAUGUG